CUCUUCAUGAGGCGGGCUGGACCUCUCGGGGUUACAGCCUUGCUGAAUUAUUCACCCUUGUCUUUUGCGUACUUCUUGUUUCCUUGGUGGGUUCGCCCACCACUAGGACAAACAUAAACCUUUUGUAAUUGCAAUCAGCGUCAGUAACAAAUUAAUAAUUACAACUUUCAACAACGGAUCUCUUGGUUCUGGCAUCGAUGAAGAACGCAGCGAAAUGCGAUAAGUAGUGUGAAUUGCAGAAUUCAGUGAAUCAUCGAAUCUUUGAACGCACAUUGCGCCCUUUGGUAUUCCAAAGGGCAUGCCUGUUCGAGCGUCAUUUGUACCCUCAAGCUUUGCUUGGUGUUGGGCGUCUUGUCUCUAGCUUUGCUGGAGACUCGCCUUAAAGUAAUUGGCAGCCGGCCUACUGGUUUCGGAGCGCAGCACAAGUCGCACUCUCUAUCAGCAAAGGUCUAGCAUCCAUUAAGCCUUUUUUUCAACUUUUGACCUCGGAUCAGGUAGGGAUACCCGCUGAACUUAAGCAUAUCAAUAAGCGGAGGAA
rnacentral:rRNA from 1 species